GUUCUCUGUCUGCCUGCAAGCUCCUGUGAAUAGGGCCCGGGACAGAUGCCAGUUGUGUUUGAUGAGUGAAUGAAGGAAACCCAAAACCCUGCGGAUGGACAGGUGGUCACAUGAAGAAGUACACACCAACACAAGCCAUGCACACGGAUGCGUGUGUACCGCACACACGGCCACACUAACCAUGCAUAUGGAGCGCCCUCUUGGCCAUCUGUGGCCCAGCACGACCUGGCUUCAAAAAACACAUGAAUGAAUGACCCGG
rnacentral:lncRNA from 1 species